AGAGUUUGAUCAUGGCUCAGAAUGAACGUUGGCGGCGUGGAUUAGGCAUGCAAGUCGGACGCCCCUUGGGGGCGUGGCGGAAGGGUGAGUAAGGCGACGGCAACCAACCCCGCGGAGGGGGACAGCCACGGGAAACCGUGGGUAAUCCCCCGCGACGUCGGCUCGGGACCUCCCGGGCCGACCAAAGGUGCAAGUCCGCCGCGGGACGGGCCGUCGUGGUAUCAGGUUGUUGGUGGGGUGACGGCCCACCAAGCCGACGACGCCUAGCGGGCGUGCGAGCGUGGCCCGCCACACUGGGACUGAGACACUGCCCAGACACCUACGGGUGGCUGCAGUCGAGAAUCUUCGGCAAUGGGCGCCAGCCUGACCGAGCGACGCCGCGUGGAGGACGAAGGCCUUCGGGUUGUAAACUCCUGUCGAGGGGGAACAAGGGCGGGUGCAGAGCCCGCCUUGAGUGAUCCCUGGAGGAAGCACGGGCUAAGUUCGUGCCAGCAGCCGCGGUAAGACGAACCGUGCGAACGUUAUUCGGAAUCACUGGGCUUAAAGCGCGUGUAGGCGGACGGCCGCGUCGGCAUUGAAAGCCCCCGGCUCAACCGGGGAAUCGGUGCCGAAACGGGUCGUCUGGAGGGGUGUAGGGGGAGCUGGAACUUCCGGUGGAGCGGUGAAAUGCGUUGAGAUCGGAAGGAACGCCCGUGGCGAAAGCGAGCUCCUGGACACUCACUGACGCUGAGACGCGAAAGCCAGGGGAGCGAACGGGAUUAGAUACCCCGGUAGUCCUGGCCGUAAACCAUGGGCACUGGGUAGGGGGCCGGCCGACGGCUCCCUGCCGUAGCGAAAGCGUCAAGUGCCCCGCCUGGGGAGUAUGGUCGCAAGGCUGAAACUCAAAGGAA
rnacentral:rRNA from 1 species